rnacentral:rRNA from 1 species
GAUGAACGCUGGCGGCGUGCCUAAUACAUGCAAGUCGAGCGAACAGAUGAGGAGCUUGCUCCUCUGACGUUAGCGGCGGACGGGUGAGUAACACGUGGAUAACCUACCUAUAAGACUGGGAUAACUUCGAGAAACCGGAGCUAAUACCGGAUAAUAUAUUGAACCGCAUGGUUCAAUAGUGAAAGACGGUUUUGCUGUCACUUAUAGAUGGAUCCGCGCCGCAUUAGCUAGUUGGUAAGGUAACGGCUUACCAAGGCAACGAUGCGUAGCCGACCUGAGAGGGUGAUCGGCCACACUGGAACUGAGACACGGUCCAGACUCCUACGGGAGGCAGCAGUAGGGAAUCUUCCGCAAUGGGCGAAAGCUUGACGGAGCAACGCCGCGUGAGUGAUGAAGGUCUUCGGAUCGUAAAACUCUGUUAUUAGGGAAGAACAAAUGUGUAAGUAACUAUGCACGUCUUGACGGUACCUAAUCAGAAAGCCACGGCUAACUACGUG